AACUCAGCUCCUGGGUGGCUUAGUACCCACAAGGUCACUUUCCUGUUCUAAGAGCCUUCGGUAUCCAGAUUCUUCUACAAACCACCUCAACUCUUUCCUCUUUCUUCCCUCCUCCAUAAAAUCUCAGCAUCCCACCCCCACAUUGCACAACAGUGAUCAGAUCAGCUGGUCACUAUAGAGAUUUGUAUAUAUUAAAACAAACCUACUUUUUGGAGAAUUUUUUGUAUAUUCUUUUCUAUUUGUUUUCUACAAAUUGAGGACAGAGCUGGCAAACUGUGAAUCUAAUUUUAUCUUGAUGCCAGCAGAUAUAUUUUAGCUUCCUGGUAUGAAUCUAUGUUACUAGGGACACCAUAUCACCCUCUGAUCAGUAUUGCACCUCCAAUCUACAAAGUUAGUUUGGCCCAAUCUUACAUUCUCUCUUCCACAAAUCCCCAAAUUUCUUUGCUAUUAUUUAUACAGAGAAUAUUUAUAGUCCUGGAUAUUACAAGUUUUAAUGUUAAUUUAACUUUUAAUAACAUUACACAUUUGUAUCUACUCUUCAAAAAUCAUAAAGACUCAGAGUAGGCUGAUAUAGUCUCUUUGGUAUCUGUAAUUUUUUCAGACAGAUAUUUUCUUAUGAUAUUUUCUAUAAAACCACAUAGAUAGAAGUAUAGCUAAUUAGAGCACACAUUUCUAUAGCAAUUUGGGGUAUCAACUGUUUCCUGAGCAUACAGACACAUUUGAGAAAUUUUGGAACUCAGUCCUUAAUGAUGCAAUGAAUAACUUGACCAAACUCAGAACGAAGAAUUGCUUAAGCCCCUUAGGUAGUUAGCAUAUACAACUGAACAGUUAAUCCUUCAGCAUCAAGGAAUGGUGCUGACUGCUGUUUCCCGACACCAGUUCUUGUUUGCCCAAUGGACCUUUCUAAUUUUAUUUUUCUAUAAGAAGAAUAAAGGCCGGUGCUAAUAGCGGGACCGCUUCUCUAUCAGAAUCUCCCAUGCAUUUCUAGAUGUUUAUGUGAAAAUUGGCCCUAAUGAAACAGAGUAGCAAAGACUGAGGAUGGUUAGGAAGAAAAGAAUUCAGGACAGGUUUGGUGCAGUUUUAAGUCUUGCCAAGCAAAAUGAUAGCAAAACCUCACAUUGUUAUAUGAAUUGAACAUAUAUUUUUAAGAAGAAAUGAAAGACAACAUAUUUUUAGUACCCAUUCAGAAUCCAUGCUGUAUCCCUGGGGGCGGGGCAGAGCUGGGAGUUAGAGGCAUACUGAGAUUAUUUAGCAUAAACUCAAAUACUUUAUCCUCAGGUAGGCAACAAACUUAUGUAACCUUCCCACAAGGUAAACCAGUAGCCACGGAAAACACAAGGUGUCUUUUCUCCACCGAACACACACUCUGCAAUGGUGGGAGGACUGGUAUUUUACUGUGUUUGAAAGAAUAGCCUGUUACAUAGAUGACAUAGUAGGAUGUAUUCAAACCCGCUCCUCAUUAAGCGAACAGAUUAGCUGUGCCCUCAACUGGCUACGAUUGUAUCUGUUUUCACCGCUAGCUAUCAGAGCAUGAGUUUCUUGUGUGUACACGCUGAUACUUGGUUCACGCAUGAAGACAGUGCCUAUGCACUUUGUGUAGCUAUCAUGUAGGUAUUUGUGUGUAAUUUCAGUGAAACAAUGUAUAGACGUAAUUUAAUGUAACUGUUUUUCUUGGCUGUUUAUCUAAAUGCAGUAGAUAUGUCGGUUGCCGUUUGGAAACCUUCCUUUGCAGUCUUAGGUGUCGUCUAAGAGUUAUUUCUCGUUCUCAAUGUGACCUGAGUGAAGAACUUAACCUAUGAAACCCCUGUACUCAUGAUUGUUUGCAAAUCUCUGAGUCCAGCACCUUUGUAAAUACAGCCCCGAGGAGGAAUGGGGGUGAAUGUGUUUCCUGUUACUCAGUGAAAUAUCAGCCUACGCCUGCAUCAUUCCCACUCAGUGCACCAGUGGAACUUGUGGUUACCAAGUCUGAGGGAGGUUUAGAAUGAAGACACUCGUCUCUCCUCCCUCACUGGUGGACUGGGCUUAAAGAGACAGAAAAAAAAAUCAAAAAGUCCAUCUCCUCUUCAUACUCAAAUCAUGUCUUCUGGGGGAAGGGUCAACCUCUCUGGUUGUCAGAUCUUCACUUGAUGGUGACCUUCAUCAUGGCCUAAACAUCAUGGCCUGAAGAACCUUGUUACCUUUGACUUCCCGAGUUGGAGUACAAGAAUGUUUUUAUUGAUUAGUAGUCAUGCAGGUGAGCCUGAGCCUCCCCCGAAAGCACAGUUCUGGCAGCAAAUUGCACACCUGUGAGAGAACAACAGAGUACUAGAAGCACACGAAGGCUCAGGGCCAGCAACAGCCAGGGGCCAGCAAUGGUUGAGGACCAGCAAAGGCCAGUGGUCAACCUUGGCAUUGGCAGAGGACCAACCUUUGAUGGACUGAUCUUGAGUAUGUGACAGGAGGCUGAUCUCCUCUACUCAGCCUGCUCUGCUUGCCUGUGUGGAGUAGGUGGAGAUGAGAUUAACAAUGGCAAUUAGAUGUGAUUUUGCGAACUGCAUUCUCACUAAAUACCAUACUUUGUAGUUCCUGUAACCCCUCUCUUCCCCACAAAGACAGAAGAAACAGCAAUGUGCUCGAGAGUACCCCUCCCUUUCCUCACAGAUCAUUGAGAGGUGAAGCAAGCACACUCAUUUUCAGGGGCUUCCCCAGAUGUGUGGAGUGAGGGGAUAUGGUGACUGUGCCCUUCAAAUUAUGGAUGAAAAAAAAAAAAGUACAGAAGGGAAGGAGACUUUAGGCAGGAUUAUUUUUGAAUGAAAGAUCAGAUUAAUGUUUUCCCUUCCGCUCACAGUCCCCGUUGGUCUGGUGUCAUGUAGCAUAGUGCGUCUAUAGCACAUGGUAUUUAAAGACUAAUGAAUGCAAAGAGACUAAUUUGGGGGCUGUUUCUUAUAUAUGGUACUAGGAAAUGCCUUGUUGGCAAAGCACACCUUGGGUAGUUGAGAUCUCCUGUGUUCGUCUUUAGCUUUCCUUGUGAUGUAGACUCAUGACUGUAACAUUUCAUGUGUAAAAUAACUGGAUAUUCUUCAUAUGAUGGAAAUAACCUGUGAAUUCAAUCUUUCACUAAGUGUUUUAACUACUGUGUAUAUAUAUCUCUCUCAUCAAUAAAUGUAGAUUGCAAUUUC
rnacentral:lncRNA from 1 species